UUAAGCGACUAAGCGUACACGGUGGAUGCCCUGGCAGUCAGAGGCGAUGAAGGACGUGCUAAUCUGCGAUAAGCGUCGGUGAGGUGAUAUGAACCGUUAUAACCGGCGAUUUCCGAAUGGGGAAACCCAGUGUGUUUCGACACACUAUCAUUAACUGAAUCCAUAGGUUAAUGAGGCGAACCGGGGGAACUGAAACAUCUAAGUACCCCGAGGAAAAGAAAUCAACCGAGAUUCCCCCAGUAGCGGCGAGCGAACGGGGAGGAGCCCAGAGCCUGAAUCAGUGUGUGUGUUAGUGGAAGCGUCUGGAAAGGCGCGCGAUACAGGGUGACAGCCCCGUACACAAAAAUGCACAUACUGUGAGCUCGAUGAGUAGGGCGGGACACGUGGUAUCCUGUCUGAAUAUGGGGGGACCAUCCUCCAAGGCUAAAUACUCCUGACUGACCGAUAGUGAACCAGUACCGUGAGGGAAAGGCGAAAAGAACCCCGGCGAGGGGAGUGAAAAAGAACCUGAAACCGUGUACGUACAAGCAGUGGGAGCCUCUUAAUGGGGUGACUGCGUACCUUUUGUAUAAUGGGUCAGCGACUUAUAUUCUGUAGCAAGGUUAACCGAAUAGGGGAGCCGAAGGGAAACCGAGUCUUAACUGGGCGUUAAGUUGCAGGGUAUAGACCCGAAACCCGGUGAUCUAGCCAUGGGCAGGUUGAAGGUUGGGUAACACUAACUGGAGGACCGAACCGACUAAUGUUGAAAAAUUAGCGGAUGACUUGUGGCUGGGGGUGAAAGGCCAAUCAAACCGGGAGAUAGCUGGUUCUCCCCGAAAGCUAUUUAGGUAGCGCCUCGUGAAUUCAUCUCCGGGGGUAGAGCACUGUUUCGGCAAGGGGGUCAUCCCGACUUACCAACCCGAUGCAAACUGCGAAUACCGGAGAAUGUUAUCACGGGAGACACACGGCGGGUGCUAACGUCCGUCGUGAAGAGGGAAACAACCCAGACCGCCAGCUAAGGUCCCAAAGUCAUGGUUAAGUGGGAAACGAUGUGGGAAGGCCCAGACAGCCAGGAUGUUGGCUUAGAAGCAGCCAUCAUUUAAAGAAAGCGUAAUAGCUCACUGGUCGAGUCGGCCUGCGCGGAAGAUGUAACGGGGCUAAACCAUGCACCGAAGCUGCGGCAGCGACACUAUGUGUUGUUGGGUAGGGGAGCGUUCUGUAAGCCUGUGAAGGUGGCCUGUGAGGGUUGCUGGAGGUAUCAGAAGUGCGAAUGCUGACAUAAGUAACGAUAAAGCGGGUGAAAAGCCCGCUCGCCGGAAGACCAAGGGUUCCUGUCCAACGUUAAUCGGGGCAGGGUGAGUCGACCCCUAAGGCGAGGCCGAAAGGCGUAGUCGAUGGGAAACAGGUUAAUAUUCCUGUACUUGGUGUUACUGCGAAGGGGGGACGGAGAAGGCUAUGUUGGCCGGGCGACGGUUGUCCCGGUUUAAGCGUGUAGGCUGGUUUUCCAGGCAAAUCCGGAAAAUCAAGGCUGAGGCGUGAUGACGAGGCACUACGGUGCUGAAGCGACAAAUGCCCUGCUUCCAGGAAAAGCCUCUAAGCAUCAGGUAACAUCAAAUCGUACCCCAAACCGACACAGGUGGUCAGGUAGAGAAUACCAAGGCGCUUGAGAGAACUCGGGUGAAGGAACUAGGCAAAAUGGUGCCGUAACUUCGGGAGAAGGCACGCUGAUAUGUAGGUGAAGCGACUUGCUCGUGGAGCUGAAAUCAGUCGAAGAUACCAGCUGGCUGCAACUGUUUAUUAAAAACACAGCACUGUGCAAACACGAAAGUGGACGUAUACGGUGUGACGCCUGCCCGGUGCCGGAAGGUUAAUUGAUGGGGUUAGCGGCAACGCGAAGCUCUUGAUCGAAGCCCCGGUAAACGGCGGCCGUAACUAUAACGGUCCUAAGGUAGCGAAAUUCCUUGUCGGGUAAGUUCCGACCUGCACGAAUGGCGUAAUGAUGGCCAGGCUGUCUCCACCCGAGACUCAGUGAAAUUGAACUCGCUGUGAAGAUGCAGUGUACCCGCGGCAAGACGGAAAGACCCCGUGAACCUUUACUAUAGCUUGACACUGAACAUUGAGCCUUGAUGUGUAGGAUAGGUGGGAGGCUUUGAAGUGUGGACGCCAGUCUGCAUGGAGCCGGCCUUGAAAUACCACCCUUUAAUGUUUGAUGUUCUAACGUGGGCCCCUUACCGGGGUUGCGGACAGUGUCUGGUGGGUAGUUUGACUGGGGCGGUCUCCUCCUAAAGAGUAACGGAGGAGCACGAAGGUUGGCUAAUCCUGGUCGGACAUCAGGAGGUUAGUGCAAUGGCAUAAGCCAGCUUGACUGCGAGCGUGACGGCGCGAGCAGGUGCGAAAGCAGGUCAUAGUGAUCCGGUGGUUCUGAAUGGAAGGGCCAUCGCUCAACGGAUAAAAGGUACUCCGGGGAUAACAGGCUGAUACCGCCCAAGAGUUCAUAUCGACGGCGGUGUUUGGCACCUCGAUGUCGGCUCAUCACAUCCUGGGGCUGAAGUAGGUCCCAAGGGUAUGGCUGUUCGCCAUUUAAAGUGGUACGCGAGCUGGGUUUAGAACGUCGUGAGACAGUUCGGUCCCUAUCUGCCGUGGGCGCUGGAGAACUGAGGGGGGCUGCUCCUAGUACGAGAGGACCGGAGUGGACGCAUCACUGGUGUUCGGGUUGUCAUGCCAAUGGCACUGCCCGGUAGCUAAAUGCGGAAGAGAUAAGUGCUGAAAGCAUCUAAGCACGAAACUUGCCCCGAGAUGAGUUCUCCCUGACCCUUUAAGGGUCCUGAAGGAACGUUGAAGACGACGACGUUGAUAGGCCGGGUGUGUAAGCGCAGCGAUGCGUUGAGCUAACCGGUACUAAUGAACCGUGAGGCUUAACCUU
rnacentral:rRNA from 1 species